rnacentral:lncRNA from 1 species
GCUGCGAAUAUUGAUUUAAAACUUGUUGUCUAUUGUAUUCUAUUAUAUUUUUCCCUGUUGAAGACUAACGAUAAUUUUGUUGUAUAUUAUCUUAGUCAUAAUAUUCUUUACUGGGCUAGUCGAGCUCACCCUUUUUCUUUUUGUUCCAUUUUUCUUCUCAGGAGGCGAGAAUAUAGCGAGUACGAGUCGGGGUAUGGAAUGAAAGUUCUAGGGAGAGUUGUUUAGUAGUCCUCACCAUUGUUGUAAAAUAAUGUAUCAAUAAUUAUGAUGAAGAUUUAUUUGUAUGUGGAUAUUGUCUAGAUGGCAAUAUCUGUAUUUAAACUCAC